rfam:Picea glauca, whole genome shotgun sequence.
UAUUUGAGGAAUAAGCAUUAGCUAACUCUGUGCCAGCAGUCGCGGUAAGACAGAGGAUGCAAGCGUUAUCCAUAAUGAUUGGGCGUAAAGCGUCUGUAGGUGGAUUUUCAAGUCCGCCGUCAAAUCCCAGGGCUCAACCCUGGACAGGCGGUGGAAACUACCAAGCUGGAGUAUGGUAGGGGCAGAGGGAAUUUUCGGUGGAGCGGUGAAAUGCGUUGAGAUCGAAAAGAACACCAACAGCGAAAGCACUCUGCUGGGUCGACACUGACACUGAGAGACAAAAUUUAGGGGAGCAAAUGGGAUUAGAUACCCCAUUAGUCCUAGCCGUAAAUGAUGGAUACUAAGUGUUGUACGUAUCGACCCACACAGUGUUUUAGCUAACGUGUUAAGUAUCCCGCCUGGGGAGUAUGUUCGCAAGAAUGAAACUCAAAGGAAUUGACGGGGGCCUGCACAAGCGGUGGAGAAUGUGGUUCAAUUCGAUGCAAAGCGAAGAACCUUACCAGGGCUUGACAUGCUGUGAAUCCUCCCAAAAGAGAGGAGUGCCUUAGGGAACGCGGACACAGGUGGUGCAUGGCUGUCAUCAGAUCGUGCCGUAAGGUGUUGGGUUAAGUCCCGCAACGAGUGCAACCCUCGUGUUUAGUUGCCAGCAUUGAGUUUGGAACCCUGAACAGACUGUCGGUGAUAAGACGGAGGAAGGUGAGGAUGAUGUCAAGUCAUCAUGACCCUUACGCCCUAGGCGCCACACAUGCUACAAUGACCGGGACAAAGGGUCGCGACCCCACAAGGGAAAGCUAACCUCAAAAACCCGACCUCAGUUCGGAUUGCAGGCUGCAACUCGCCUGCAUGAAUCCAAAAUCGCUAGUAAUCGUCGGUCAGCCAUACGGCGGUGAAUCCAUUCCCGGGCCUUGUACACACCGCCCGUCACACUAUGGGAGCUGGCCAUGCCCCAAAUCGUUACCUUAACCGCAAGGAGGGGGAUGCCGAAGGCUGGGCUAGUUGCUGGAGUAAAUUCGUAACAAGGUAGCCGUACUGGAAGGUGCGGCUGGAUCACCUCCUUU